rnacentral:rRNA from 1 species
GUCCGGGGAUCAGUGGCGAACGGGUGCGUAACACGUGGGCAACCUGCCUCAGACACUGGGAUAACCCCGGGAAACCGGGGCUAAUACCGGAUACUCCGACCGGACUGCAUGAUCCGGCCGGGAAAGCUCCGACGGUCUGAGAUGGGCCCGCGGCCUAUCAGCUGGUUGGUGAGGUAACGGCCCACCAAGGCGACGACGGGUAGCUGGUCUGAGAGGACGACCAGCCACACUGGAACUGAGACACGGUCCAGACUCCUACGGGAGGCAGCAGUGGGGAAUCUUGCGCAAUGGGCGAAAGCCUGACGCAGCGACGCCGCGUGGGGGAUGAAGGCCCUCGGGUUGUAAACCCCUUUCGGCAGGGACGAAGCGAACGUGACGGUACCUGCAGAAGAAGUCCCGGCUAACUACGUGCCAGCAGCCGCGGUAAGACGUAGGGGACGAGCGUUGUCCGGAUUCAUUGGGCGUAAAGAGCGCGUAGGCGGCUGCGCAAGUCGGAUGUGAAAAUCCGGGGCUCAACCCCGGACCUGCAUCCGAUACUGCGCGGCUAGAGGUAGGUAGGGGAGAUCGGAAUUCCUGGUGUAGCGGUGAAAUGCGCAGAUAUCAGGAGGAACACCGGUGGCGAAGGCGGAUCUCUGGGCCUUACCUGACGCUCAGGCGCGAAAGCUAGGGGAGCGAACAGG